CUUCUCUGCCUCUCUCUCUCUGUUUCUCUCUCUCUCUCUGUUUCUCUCUCUCUGUUUCUCUCUCUCUCUCUGUUUCUCUCUCUCUCUCUGUUUCUCUCUCUCUCUCACUCUCUCUCAUUCUCUCUCUGUCCCACAUGAGAAGACAGUGGGAAGAUAGCCACCUAUGGAGUGGAGGAGUACCCUCACCAAAACUGAUCUCAGAUGAGACUGGAACCCUGAUCUCAAACUGCCAUCAUCCAGAGCUAUGAGAAAUGUUUGCUGUCGAAGUCACCUCGUCUAGGUCUAUCUUGGAAGUAGCGAAGAAUUUCUGCUCUGGGGCCUCUCUUUCAACUGAGGACACACAUCAAGACACAGCUGUUGCACCAGAAGCUGUAAUUCUGCAGGCCUGCCAACUGGCACAUUCCAUCAUAUAACAAGAAUUCUUGGGAUGUGGAAUCCAAAACACUGGCCAGAGACAUAGCUUAAUAUCACUACAGUGGUGUGGGAUGGAGUAAAUAUUAGUACUUGUUUUAUUUUUUCUGCUUCUGAGCCCACCGAAGUGUACUGCAAUCCAUCAAGACAGAAAAUCCUGCAUUUUGUGGUCCAGAGUAUUUGGAACUGAUUUAGCUGUACCUGGAUCCAAGUUGAUUUGCCUUCAAUCUCCCAGACUUAACUGUUGAAGUCUAUAGCACAUUAAGCAUUUAGGUCUACAGAGUCACAGCCAUUCACUGACCCGGCUCUAAUUUUCACUUGGAGUUAGUACUUUUUGAUUUGGGAUUUGUGAAAAGGCAAAAAUAUUUGUCAGACACCCACUGCCAGGAAUGCUGAUUUUAAUUUCGUGACUUCUACUGCAGAAAAAAAAAAAAAGUUAAUUUUCCCACUUGGAGUUUUUAUCCAUGGAUAUCAGGCUACAAUAUUUCCCCCAGAGUUAUCUUUCCUGCUUCCUUCUUUUGGCAAAACUUACAUGGAGGUGAGUUUCCUCAAUGUGGGCAGAAGGUUAAAGCAAUAAGAACUUGCGGUUGCUGGCCUUCCUUGUAGCCUGGUUUCUGAAUGCAUUUAGGUUGAUGUGGCAUCGUAACACUCUCUAGGGCUUACAGGAAAACUUCGUUCUGUUCCGGAAGCUGCUGUGAGCCAGCGGCUAUGAACUUGUGGCCCAGCCACAGGGAAUCAGGAACUUCUGAGUUAGAGCCCAGACGCCACUGAGCCUCACUGAGUGACCUCAAGCAAGUUACUUAACAUUUGCCUGCUCCUCAUUUUCCAGCUGUAAAAUGGGGAAAAAAAAUAUAUUUGCUCAUUCAAGUUAAGCAGUUUGCAAGUUGUUCCUACCGUACUGUGGGUUAAUUUUUAUGCAUGUUUUUGGUUUUCAUUUUUUGCUUUGUUUUUUCAUAACAAAUUUAAAAGGGGAAAGGGGGUGUAAUUUUAUUUUUUAAAAGAUGACACAUAAAAAUUGCCACAAUUCGAACUGAACUUAAAAGAUGUCAAGUAUAUCAAAAUAUAAAUGUAUAACCUUUUUUGAGCUGUGCUGUAACACUCAUUAGAUAUUCCCUGCCAAUUAUAGUGUGACUGCAAUGAAGAUGAAGUUUUUUUCAUGUUUUCUCUCUACUGUGGCCCCAGAAUUUAGAACAGAGCCUGCCAUACA
rnacentral:lncRNA from 1 species